rnacentral:rRNA from 1 species
GACUUGGACUGGCCGCCAGGGUCCGGAAGAGGAGCGAGUUCACUCGAUCAUCUACGUUACGUGGGUGGUGGGGAGCGACGAGCUCUGGGUUACUGUGAAGAAAUUAGAGUGUUUAAAGCAGGCAGGAAAGCUUGAAUAGACGAGCAUGGAAUAACAAGAUAGGACAUUGAGAGCCUCUUGUUGGUGAAGGGGGACGGAUGUAAUGAUUAAUAGGGUCAGUUGGGGGCAUUAGUAUUCAGUAGUCAGAGGUGAAAUUCUUGGAUUUACUGAAGACUAACUAGUGCGAAAGCAUUUGCCAAGGAUGUUUUCAUUAAUCAAGAACGAAAGUUAGGGGAUCGAAGACGAUCAGAUACCGUCGUAGUCUUAACUAUAAACGAUGCCGACUAAGGAUCGGCAGGGGUCGGUUAGCGACACUGUCGGGACUUUGUGAGAAAUCAAAGUUUAUGGGUUCUGGGGGGAGUAUGGUCGCAAGGCUGAAACUUAAAGGAAUUGACGGAAGGGCACCACCAGGAGUGGAGCCUGCGGCUUAAUUUGACUCAACACGGGAAAACUCACCAGGUCCGGACAUGGUAAGGAUUGACAGAUUGAGAGCUCUUUCUUGAUUCUGUGGGUGGUGGUGCAUGGCCGUUCUUAGUUGGUGGAGUGAUUUGUCUGGUUAAUUCCGAUAACGAACGAGACCUUGACCUGCUAACUAGAUACUAGUACGAGAGUAUUGGUAGACUUCUUAGAGGGACUGACUA